rnacentral:rRNA from 1 species
UGGGGAAUAUUGCACAAUGGAGGGAACUCUGAUGCAGCGACGCCGCGUGAACGAAGAAGGCUUUCGAGUCGUAAAGUUCUUUUAUAUGGGAAGAUAAUGACGGUACCAUAAGAAAAAGCCCCGGCUAACUACGUGCCAGCAGCCGCGGUAAUACGUAGGGGGCUAGCGUUGUCCGGAAUCACUGGGCGUAAAGGGUUCGCAGGCGGAAAAGCAAGUCAGGUGUAAAAAGCAGUAGCUUAACUACUGUAAGCAUUUGUAACUGCAUAUCUUGAGAAGAGUAGAGGUAAGUGGAAUUUUUAGUGUAGCGGUGAGAUGCGUAGAUAUUAAAAGGAAUACCGGUGGCGAAGGCGGCUUACUGGGCUCAUUCUGACGCUGAGGAACGAAAGCGUGGGUAGCAAACAGG